rnacentral:misc_RNA from 1 species
GUGAAUAUAGCGCGUCUCUUCGGAGAGCGCGACCUCCACUUUCAACUCUGUGCAUUUUUUGGCGAGGGAACGAGACGAAGCGACGCAAGUUGCAGACUCUCGCCUCUUGCGGCUCAUUUUAAACACUAGUUAAAGUAUGUAACGAAAUAUCGAAACAAAAA